rnacentral:rRNA from 1 species
UCCGUAGGCGGGCAAUUAAGUCAGAGGUGAAAUCCCACAGCUCAACUGUGGAACUGCCUUUGAUACUGGUUGUCUUGAGUUACAGUGAAGUAGAUAGAAUAUGUAGUGUAGCGGUGAAAUGCAUAGAUAUUACAUAGAAUACCGAUUGCGAAGGCAGUCUACUAACUGUAUACUGACGAUAAUGGACGAAAGCGUGGGGAGCGAACAGGAUUAGAUACCCUGGUAGUCC